rnacentral:tRNA from 2 species
AGGGGUAUAGCCAAGCGGUAAGGCAACGGGUUUUGAUCCCGUCAUGCGUAGGUUCAAAUCCUGCUACCCCUA